AAAGCUUUAAUACCCCUAUAAGACGACAAGACCCUAUAAAACUUUACCUUCUACCUUUUUAUAGCCUAGAAACAACACUAAUUGAACGAAGGUUUUGCUGGGGCGGUAAAUCUUAUUAAACAAAUUUUACUUUAACAUAGUGUAUGAAAUUUACGAACACUCUAAGUAAUAAAGAACAAGUUACUUUAGGGAUAACAGCGCAAUGUUUUUUUAGAGCCCUCAUCGGCAAAAACGUUUACGACCUCGAUGUUGAAUUGAAGCACCUCCACGAGGCAGCCCUCGUGAAAGGA
rnacentral:rRNA from 1 species